ensembl:lncRNA
GAUUCAUGUGCGUCACCUAGACUGGGCUCCUGUCGGAACCACCUGCCCUCAGAAAGACAACUCCUUAGUUCCACCGGUGUGGCUUCCCUGUGACAGCUUGUGUACAGUACACACACUGUGCUCGCAGUAAUAGGAACACCGGAACGUAACGUGUUAUGUAAGCACUGCAAGUUUAUACACAACACAUAAUGACCUCUUUCAUUAUCUCAACUUUCUCUAAAGCAAAACUGACUUUACAAGGUCUAAUCUCUAUUCAUGCUUAGUCAAGAGGGAGUCUGAGGCGAGGAGGGCAUAAACAGAAUAGAAAGGGUCUCCUGUCCCUUUAAGAGGGAGUCGGAGGUGAGGAGGGCAUAAACAGAAUAGAAAGGGUCUCCUGUCCCUUUAAGAGGGAGUCUGAGGUGAGGAGGGCAUAAACAGAAUAGAAAGGGUCUCCUGUCCCUUUAAGAGGGAGUCUGAGGUGAGGAGGGCACAAACACAAUAGAAAGGGUCCCCUGUCCCUUUAAGAGGGAGUCUGAGGUGAGGAGGGCACAAACACAAUAGAAAGGGUCUCCUGUCCCUUUAAGAGGGAGUCUGAGGUGAGGAGGGCAUAAACAGAAUAGAAAGGGUCUCCUGUCCCUUUAAGAGGGAGUCUGAGGUGAGGAGGGCACAAACACAAUAG